AGAGCGAACGCUGGCGGCAUGCUUAACACAUGCAAGUCGCACGGGCAGGGGUAACCCUGUCAGUGGCGGACGGGUGAGUAACGCGUAGGUAUCUAUCCUUGGGUGGGGGACAACUGUGGGAAACUACAGCUAAUACCGCAUGAUAACUGAGGUUUAAAGGCGCAAGUCGCCUGAGGAGGAGCCUGCGUACGAUUAGCUAGUUGGUGGGGUAAAGGCCUACCAAGGCUGUGAUCGUUAGCUGGUCUGAGAGGAUGAUCAGCCACAUUGGGACUGAGACACGGCCCAAACUCCUACGGGAGGCAGCAGUGGGGAAUAUUGGACAAUGGGCGAAAGCCUGAUCCAGCAAUGCCGCGUGUGUGAAGAAGGUCUUCGGAUUGUAAAGCACUUUCGACGGGACGAUGAUGACGGUACCCGUAGAAGAAGCCCCGGCUAACUUCGUGCCAGCAGCCGC
rnacentral:rRNA from 1 species